GUUAAAAACAGCGUCAAGUUUUAGUUUUCUUAAAAAGACACCGAAGCAGAUGAAAUCGAAGCAAUAUCAGCUUGUGUAUGUCGAUGGAUUGAUAAACGAAGAUGAAAAGGAGGCCCACAAACUGCUGACGUCAACGCGAAUUCCGUGAUAAUGAAGUUUUAUUGAACAAUUUGAUAUUUUCUAGUGGUUUAUUUUGUAAUUUUAGAAGUACAAGAAUCUACGGAGGGGGGGAGGGGGGAGGGGGGAGAUAAAACUUCAUCGAAAAUUUUUGGUUUUCAACUAUUUACAAUUAAUUCCUUUGAAUUUAAAAAUUAUAUGUUUUACAAGAAAAUAGUAUGAUUAUUUGGAAUGUUUGGAGGGGGUGGCCAGUUUUCAUGUUUUAAAAACUUAAGUGGCUCGAGCUGCCCCCCGGGCGUUGUAUUUCUUACGCGUGCAUGUAUGAAAAUAUGGAGUAGAUUUAGAACAAAGAUUAUCCAAACGUUAAUCUGAUUAUAUUGUAAUCUGUGUAUUCUGUAAACAAUAUCAUUUGGAAGUUUAAGACCAA